CACAGUUUGGCGGAGUGGUUAACGCGAUGGCCUGCUAAAUUAGCUGACAGCCAUUUCCUUCGGGAGCGAGUGUUCGAAUCACUCAGGUGUCG
rnacentral:tRNA from 1 species